AGCCUGUGAUGACAAAUCAAAAUUUUCUGACACCUUCUAUGACAGCUGAUUCAGCUAGUGAUUCGACAUUUUCAAACUGAGGCUC